rnacentral:rRNA from 1 species
GACGAACGCUGGCGGCGUGCUUAACACAUGCAAGUCGAACGGUGAAGCGCCUUCCUUUUUGGUGGGUGUGGAUGAGUGGCGAACGGGUGAGUAACACGUGAGUAACCUGCUCCCUUCUUCUGGAUAACCGCAUGAAAGUGUUGCUAAUACGGGAUAUUCUGGGUCUGUCGCAUGAUGGGUCUGGGAAAGAUUUUGUUUCGGUUGGGGAUGGGCUCGCGGCCUAUCAGCUUGUUGGUGGGGUGAUGGCCUACCAAGGCGGUGACGGGUAGCCGGCCUGAGAGGAUGGGCGGCCACAGUGGGACUGCGAGACGGAGCAGACUCCGGCGGGAAGCAGCAGUGGGGAAUAUUGCACGGUGGGAGCAAGGCUGAUGCAGCGACGCCGCAUGGAGGAUGGUGGCCUUCGGGUUGUGAACCUCUUUCGCCAGUGAAGCAGGCCUGCCUCGUUUGUGGGUGGGUUGACGGUAGCUAGACAAGAAGCGCCGGCUAACUACGUG